rnacentral:rRNA from 1 species
CCCCAGACUCCUACGGGAGGCAGCAGUGGGGGAUAUUGCACAAUGGGGGAAACCCUGAUGCAGCGACGCCGCGUGAGCGAUGAAGUAUUUCGGUAUGUAAAGCUCUAUCAGCAGGGAAGAAAAUGACGGUACCUGACUAAGAAGCCCCGGCUAACUACGUGCCAGCAGCCGCGGUAAUACGUAGGGGGCAAGCGUUAUCCGGAUUUACUGGGUGUAAAGGGAGCGUAGACGGUUCUGCAAGCCAGAUGUGAAAGCCCGGGGCUCAACCCCGGGACUGCAUUUGGAACUGUAAGGCUAGAGUGUCGGAGAGGCAGGCGGAAUUCCUAGUGUAGCGGUGAAAUGCGUAGAUAUCAGGAGGAACACCGGCGGCGAAGGCGGCCUGCUGGACCGUGACUGACGUUGAGGCUCGAGAGCGUGGGGAGCAAACAGGAUUAGAUACCCGCGUAA